AAAUUUAAUAAACAUGCUUAUCUACAACUUACAACAUUCGAUGAUCCUGCUAAGAAACGAUCAACGUGCCAUGACACUUUCGUACGUUACAACUUUGAAAAUCUAAAAUGGUAUCGCAGAGACAUCUAUGCUCAGAUCGAUAUCUAAUGAAAUCUUCGCUAGGUUACGUCGAUAACACUAUUUCUCUACUAUACCGACCUUUAGCAAUGCGUAUCUGUAAUUCAGAGCUAAAGCGAUAUAACUCAAGCCACCGACGAUAUUACUCCUUUUUGGUUAUUUUUCAACAGAGCACAAUCAUCGUAAUUAUCACACACUCAGAUUUCUGUAAUAUCUUAAUCCGACUACCAUCAUUUUCAAUAAUUAAAGUGAUUUCAAGGUUCCAAUAGAGGUUAUGCGUCAUACUUCUACCUAUUAUUUGAUUAAAUCUGGAUAUAAUCAUCGAUCGCCAAUGUACUAGUGAUUCGUUGGUAUUUCCGAUAUUACUAUGGAAUUAUUCAUCCAGCAUUCCGCAAUACCAAGGAAACGUUUACGUAAUGAAUAUCGAAGGUAGGUUCAUCAGGACGAUACUAGCGAGCAUGACGAAAGCGAGGAACACGACCCUGCUCGUGGCUGGUAGGAAGGAACUCCCAUUCUUCUCGUCCGAGAACAGAGCCCCGUACUCGUACUCACCCAUCAUCAUUACCACGGUCUUCACGACGGCCCUCCAGGAAUUGCGAAACUGGUCGUUCCCGUGGAACAAAACGGCGAAGCUGAACGCGAAUCCGACAAUCAGGCAGACGAACGCUAGGAGAACCUGAAAGGAAAUAAAAAGCCCCAGAUGCACGUUGUUAUAAUCGCGAAGUAGAGAGGGUGGUAGGGCUGCGCGAAGUAGGGGUAGGCAAGUGGGUCCUGAUGGGAGCCAUAUCACCGACCAGACAUUUAGAACCUUGCUUCUUCCUUCUUCCCCCUUUGGCUUUUCAUUUCUAACGAUAUUCGCCGAAGGGAAGAGCCUCGUCGCUCUCUUGUACCUUUCGUUUCGGCUAAAUGCAGGAUCUUUCGCCAUACAGACGGAAUUAAAAAAAAAAAAGAAAAGGGAAAGGAGAAAGAGGAAGCAAAGGAAAAAGAUACAAGAAAAAAAGCCUCCCCCGACACAUUAAAUCAGGGUUAACGUUGCUCCUGUUGAAACGACUCUCUUCGGUGAAAAACGGUGUUCUUGCGGUGUCGGACGUAGCUGCUUUUUAUUCGCGCCCGUUUAACCGCGACUCGACGCGCUUUAACGAGGAAAAUUGGGAGUUCUUCCUUCAACGGGGGAUUCCUCGUUACUUUUUCCUUUCCCCAAGUUCGAUCCUGACGAGCGAAUAGGGCGAGGAACAGGCGAUUAUUACACGGCGCACCGGGAAUCAA